CAAAGCUUGAUGGUUCUGCUUGAGGUGGUUGUGUGGUAAGACUCGGAAUUUGUUUACUUAAUUGUUCUUCUCAUUUUUCAUUAUUGUUGACUAGAUGGUCAAAUGAAAAGAGCACUGAAUUAUUCUCAUUCAUUGAAAAAGGAAAAAAAAAAGGUGAAUUAUUCUCCACACAACAUCAACAGAAAAACACCUGUUUUGUACUUGCAAGUGAAUGUGGUGGAUGAACUUGGCAUUCCUGUAAAGUUUUUGGGCGUUGGGGAAAGGGUGGAUGACCUUCAGCCAUUUGAUGCAGAGGUCUUUGUUGAUGCCAUUUUCUCCUGAAAAUUGAAGAGAAAGUUGUUCUAUAUACAUUAUUCUGAAGUUACAGAAGCAUGAAAUGCUGUUUAUUAAGA